rnacentral:rRNA from 1 species
CCUACGGGAGGCAGCAGUGGGGAAUUUUGGACAAUGGGCGAAAGCCUGAUCCAGCCAUUCCGCGUGCAGGAUGAAGGCCCUCGGGUUGUAAACUGCUUUUGUACAGAACGAAAAGGUUUCUACUAAUACUAGGAGCUCAUGACGGUACUGUAAGAAUAAGCACCGGCUAACUACGUGCCAGCAGCCGCGGUAAUACGUAGGGUGCAAGCGUUAAUCGGAAUUACUGGGCGUAAAGCGUGCGCAGGCGGUUAUAUAAGUCAGAUGUGAAAUCCCCGGGCUCAACCUGGGAACUGCAUUUGAGACUGUAUAGCUAGAGUACGGUAGAGGGGGAUGGAAUUCCGCGUGUAGCAGUGAAAUGCGUAGAUAUGCGGAGGAACACCGAUGGCGAAGGCAAUCCCCUGGACCUGUACUGACGCUCAUGCACGAAAGCGUGGGGAGCAAACAGGAUUAGAUACCCUGGUAGUCCACGCCCUUAAACGAUGUCACUGGUUGUUGGUACUUAACUGACUCAGUAACGAGACGUAACGNGUAGAGUAGACGCGNGGAGGUAACGGCGCGAGUUAGUAACGUUACGAAGAAGUUAGAGGCGNGAGACGNGCGACGGACGACGACGAGGGAGGAGG